rnacentral:rRNA from 1 species
GACGAACGCUGGCGGCGUGCUUAACACAUGCAAGUCGAACGGAAAGGCCCUGCUUUUGUGGGGUGCUCGAGUGGCGAACGGGUGAGUAACACGUGAGUAACCUGCCCUUGACUUUGGGAUAACUUCAGGAAACUGGGGCUAAUACCGGAUAGGAGCUCCUGCUGCAUGGUGGGGGUUGGAAAGUUUCGGCGGUUGGGGAUGGACUCGCGGCUUAUCAGCUUGUUGGUGGGGUAGUGGCUUACCAAGGCUUUGACGGGUAGCCGGCCUGAGAGGGUGACCGGCCACAUUGGGACUGAGAUACGGCACAGACUCCUACGGGAGGCAGCAGUGGGGAAUAUGGCACAAUGGGCGGAAGCCUGAUGCAGCAACGCCGCGUGCGGGAUGACGGCCUUCGGGUUGUAAACCGCUUUCGCCUGUGACGAAGCGUGAGUGACGGUAAUGGGUAAAGAAGCACCGGCUAACUACGUG